UACGUAGGCAGCGAGCGUUGUUCGGAGUUACUGGGCGUAAAGGGUGUGUAGGCGGUUGUUUAAGUUUGGUGUGAAAUCUCCCGGCUCAACUGGGAGGGUGCGCCGAAUACUGAAUGACUUCGAGUGCGGGAGAGGAGAGUGGAAUUCUUGGUGUAGCGGUGAAAUGCGUAGAUAUCAAGAGGAACACCUGAGGUGAAGACGGGUUGCUGGGCUGACACUGACGCUGAGGCGCGAAAGCCAGGGAAGCAAACGGG
rnacentral:rRNA from 1 species